GAAAAAUGGCUGAGUGGUUUAAAGCUUUGGUUUGCUAAAUCAAAGUAUAAAGAACUAUACCGCAGGUUCAAAUCCU
rnacentral:tRNA from 1 species